CUAUCUUCUUCAUCCAGACACCAGAACAGAUUUGGAGAAACAACACAACCAUAGGUUGCGAUUCAGAGAAGAGAAGAUGGUGAGGAGUUAAUCAAGAGUAUUUGACUUCUUAUUUCGCUCUUCAUCUCCUUCUUUUCUCUUUUCACAAACAAAUAAUAAGAAAAACAACUAGGGGUUGCGAUUGAGAGAAGGAUCGAAGAAAUGGAGAAGGAUAAACCGCAAAAACUAAAAUCAGACAUCCAGUGCUCUUGAGAGAACCAUGUAGACCUUCUGUGAAUAGGAAGUGGUCUGGGACAGAGAUGGACAAACAUAAAAAGCCUAGAUGUUGUACUAGAUGUGAUGGAGAAAAUCACAACAUAUCUACUUGUCAAGGUGGAGCAGUUGGAUCUAAUCCUAAGAAGAAAGGAGCAAGAACAGAGUGUCAAGUUGAUGGUGUGUCAUUUGUUGAGAAAGCUGAAGAAAUAUGCAACAUCUACUUCAACUGCUGCUACAAAGAAGACGUCAACAUCGCCUUCUGCAGCUGCAGUUCCAAAGAGGAGUAAGAAGACCUCAACUUCUAAUUUCACGGCAGGUUCAUGUAGUGGUUCAUGUGUGACUGUUAACUUUAAACAGUCAUUUAACAGUUCUGAGCUCUCUUCCAAAAGGCAGAGAAAGGCCAAGGUUCCUUAUGAUGUUUGAUUUAUUUUAUUUUGUCUUUCUUUAUGGAUUGUGGUGUUUGUGAGGCAUGGCUGGUGAUGUUAAUGUUUUGGAUGUUUCAACUGUUGUGCUCUUUUAGACAUUAGUAGUAAUGUUAAUGUUUCUCUUUUUAGAGACAACUUUUAGGGGGAAGGUAAAAAUGCUUUUGGCUUGUUAUACUGAUUUUUCACUUAGACAGUUCAGACUUGAAUUUUUUGU